rnacentral:rRNA from 1 species
UACGUAGGGGGCAAGCGUUGUCCGGAUUUAUUGGGCGUAAAGCGCGCGUAGGCGGCGCGGUAUGUCGUGCGUGAAAUCUCCCGGCUUAACUGGGAGGGGCCGUGCGAAACUGCCGGGCUUGAGGUCGGAAGGGGAAAGUGGAAUUCCGGGUGUAGCGGUGGAAUACGUAGAUAUCCGGAGGAACACCAGCGGCGAAGGCGGCUUUCUGGUCCGAUACUGACGCUGAGGUGCGAAAGCGUGGGGAGCGAUCCGG